AGUUAUCGUUUAUUUGAUAGCACCUUACUACUUGGAUAACCGUGGUAAUUCUAGAGCUAAUACAUGCUAAAAAUCCCGACUUCGGAAGGGAUGUAUUUAUUAGAUUAAAAACCAAUGCCUUCGGGCUUUCUGGUGAUUCAUGAUAACUUCUCGAAUCGCAUGGCCUUGCGCCGGCGAUGGUUCAUUCAAAUUUCUUCCCUAUCAACUUUCGAUGCGAAGGUCUUGUCUUCGCAUGGUUACAACGGGUAACGGAGGGUUAGGGCUCGACCCCGGAGAGGGAGCCUGAGAAAUGGCUACCACUUUUAAGGAAGGCAGCAGGCGCGCAAAUUACCCAAUCCCGACACGGGGAGGUAGUGACAAUAAAUACUGAUACAGGGCUCUUAUGGGUCUUGUAAUCGGAAUGAGUACAAUUUAAAUCCCUUAACGAGGAACAAUUGGAGGGCAAGUCUGGUGCCAGCAGCCGCGGUAAUUCCAGCUCCAAUAGCGUAUAUUAAAGUUGUUGUGGUUAAAAAGCUCGUAGUUGAACCUUGGGCCUGGCUGGCCGGUCCCCCUCACCGGGUGCACUGGUUCCGGCCGGGUCUUUCCCUCUGUGGAACCGCAUGCCCUUCACUGGGUGUGUCGGGGAAACAGGACUUUUACUUUGAAAAAAUUAGAGUGCUCCAGGCAGGCCUAUGCUCGAAUAGUACAGCAUGGAAUAAUAGAAUAGGACGUGUGGUUCUAUUUUGUUGGUUUCUAGGACCGCCGUAAUGAUUAAUAGGGACAGUCGGGGGCAUCAGUAUUCAGCUGUCAGAGGUGAAAUUCUUGGAUCUGCUGAAGACUAACUACUGCGAAAGCAUUUGCCAAGGAUGUUUUCAUUGAUAAGGAACGAAAGUUAGGGGAUCGAAGACGAUCAGAUACCGUCGUAGUCUUAACCAUAAACUAUGCCGACUAGGGAUCGGACGAUGUUAUUUUUUUUUGACUCGUUCGGCACCUUUCGAGAAAUCAAAGUGCUUGGG
rnacentral:rRNA from 1 species